ACGAACACUGGCGGCGUGCUUAACCCAUGCACGUCGAACGGAAAGGCCCUGCUUGCAGGGUGCUCGAGUGGCGAACGGGUGAGUAACACGUGGGUGAUCUGCCCCUUACUUUGGGAUAAGCCUGGGAAACUGGGUCUAAUACUGGAUAGGACCAUGCUGUAGGUGGUGUGGUGGAAAGAUUAGUUUCGGUAAGGGAUGAGCUCGCGGCCUAUCAGCUUGUUGGUGGGGUAAUGGCCUACCAAGGCGUCGACGGGUAGCCGGCCUGAGAGGGUGGACGGCCACAUUGGGACUGAGAUACGGCCCAGACGCCUACGGGAGGCAGCAGUGGGGAAUAGUGCAAAAUGGGCGCAAGCCUGAUGCAGCGACGCCGCGUGGGGGAUGACGGCCUUCGGGUUGUAAACUCCUUGCAGCCAUGACGAAGCCCUUGUGGUGACGGUAGUGGUAGAAGAAGCACCGGCUAACUACGUG
rnacentral:rRNA from 1 species